AAUGAACGUUGGCGGCGUGGAUUAGGCAUGCAAGUCGUGCGAUAACCCCGCAAGGGGGGAAAGCGGCGAAAGGGAGAGUAAUGCGUGGGUACCUGCCCCUGGGUUCGGAAUAGCUGCGGGAAACUGCAGGUAAUGCCGGAUAAUAUCCUCGGAUCAAAGGUGUGAUUCCGCCGAGGGAGGGGCCCGCGUUCUAUUAGCUAGUUGGCAGGGGAACGGCGUACCAAGGCGACGAUGGAUACCGGGUGUGAGAGCAUGACCCGGCUCACUGGGACUGAGACACUGCCCAGACACCUACGGGUGGCUGCAGUCGAGAAUCUGCGGCAAUGGGCGCAAGCCUGACCGAGCGACGCCGCGUGCGGGAUGAAGGCCUUCGGGUUGUAAACCGCUGUCGUAGAGGAGGAAAUGCGCGAGAGCUAUCUCUUGCGUUUGACGGAACCCUGGAGGAAGCACGGGCUAAGUUCGUGCCAGCAGCCGCGGUAA
rnacentral:rRNA from 1 species